GGGUGGGUACCGAAGUGGUCAAACGGGGCAGACUGUAAAUCUGCUGGCAUUCGCCUUCGAAGGUUCGAACCCUUCCCCACCCACCA
rnacentral:tRNA from 2 species